rnacentral:siRNA from 1 species
AUCUGGAAAUCGUGGUUAACAAC